GACGGAGGGUGCUAGCGUUGUUCGGAAUUACUGGGCGUAAAGGGCGCGUAGGCGGCCGCUUGCGUCGGAUGUGAAAGCCCGGGGCUCAACCCCGGAACGGCAUCCGAUACGGGGCGGCUCGAGACCGGGGAGAGGAGGGUGGAAUACCCAGUGUAGAGGUGAAAUUCGUAGAUAUUGGGUGGAACACCGGUGGCGAAAGCGGCUCUCUGGCCCGGUUCUGACGCUGAGGCGCGAAAGCGUGGGGGAGCAAACAGG
rnacentral:rRNA from 1 species